UACCAGCUCUCCGAGUGGUAGGGAUGAUUAUUGGGCUUAAAGCGUCCGUAGCCGGCUUAGCAAGUCUCCUGUUAGACUCAGCGACCUAAUCGUUGAAUCGCGGGAGAUACUACUAGGCUAGGAGGCGGGAGAGGUCGACGGUACUUCUGGGGUAGGGGUGAAAUCCUAUAAUCCCGGGAGGACCACCAGUGGCGAAGGCUGUCGACUAGAACGCGCUCGACGGUGAGGGACGAAAGCUGGGGUAGCGAACCGGAUUAGAUACCCGGGUAGUCCCGGCUGUAAACGAUGCGGGCUAGGUGUUGGGAUGGCUACGGGCCAUUUCAGUGCCGCAGGGAAGCCAUUAAGCCCGCCGCCUGGGGAGUACGGCCGCAAGGCUGAAACUUAAAGGAAUUGGCGGGGAGCACCACAAGGCGUGAAGCUUGCGGUUC
rnacentral:rRNA from 1 species